rnacentral:rRNA from 1 species
AGGACGAACGCUGGCGGCGUGCUUAACACAUGCAAGUCGAACGGAAAGGCCCGCUUGCGGGUACUCGAGUGGCGAACGGGUGAGUAACACGUGGGCAACCUGCCCUCAGCUUCGGGAUAACACUUGGAAACAGGUGCUAAUACCGGAUAACAACUUGUCAUCGCAUGGUGGUGGGUUCAAAGUUUUUCGGCUGAGGAUGGGCCCGCGGCCUAUCAGCUUGUUGGUGGGGUAAUGGCCUACCAAGGCGACGACGGGUAGCCGGCCUGAGAGGGCGACCGGCCACACUGGGACUGAGACACGGCCCAGACUCCUACGGGAGGCAGCAGUGGGGAAUAUUGCGCAAUGGGCGGAAGCCUGACGCAGCGACGCCGCGUGAGGGAUGACGGCCUUCGGUUGUAAACUCUUCAGCUCUGACGAAGCGCAAGUGACGGUAGGAGCAGAAGAAGCACCGGCCAACUACGUGCCAGCAGCCGCGGU